UAGGGAAUCUUCCACAAUGGACGCAAGUCUGAUGGAGCAACGCCGCGUGAGUGAAGAAGGUUUUCGGACCGUAAAGCUCUGUUGUUGGUGAAGAAGGAUAGAGGUAGUAACUGGCCUUUAUUUGACGGUAAUCAACCAGAAAGUCACGGCUAACUACGUGCCAGCAGCCGCGGUAAUACGUAGGUGGCAAGCGUUGUCCGGAUUUAUUGGGCGUAAAGCGAGCGCAGGCGGAAGAAUAAGUCUGAUGCGAAAGCCCUCGGCUUAACCGAGGAAUUGCAUCGGAAACUGUUUUCUUGAGUGCAGAAGAGGAGAGUAGAACUCCAU
rnacentral:rRNA from 1 species